rnacentral:rRNA from 1 species
CUACGGGCGGCUCCAGUGGGGAAUAUUGGACAAUGGGCGAAAGCCUGAUCCAGCAAUGCCGCGUGAGUGAUGAAGGCUUUAGGGUUGUAAAGCUCUUUUACCAGGGAUGAUAAUGACAGUACCUGGAGAAUAAGCUCCGGCUAACUCCGUGCCAGCAGCCGCGGUAAUACGGAGGGAGCUAGCGUUGUUCGGAAUUACUGGGCGUAAAGAGUACGUAGGCGGUUAUUCAAGUCAGAGGUGAAAGCCUGGAGCUCAACUCCAGAACUGCCUUUGAAACUAGAUAGCUAGAAUUAUGGAGAAGUUAGUGGAAUUCCGAGUGUAGAGGUGAAAUUCGUAGAUAUUCGGAAGAACACCAGUGGCGAAGGCGACUAACUGGACAUAUAUUGACGCUGAGGUACGAAAGCGUGGGGAGCAAACAGGAUUAGAUACCCGUGUAGUC